rnacentral:misc_RNA from 1 species
GAUGAAGAACGCAGCGAAAUGCGAUAAGUAAUGUGAAUUGCAGAAUUCAGUGAAUCAUCGAAUCUUUGAACGCACCUUGCACCCUUUGGAAUUCCAAAGGGUAUGCUCGUUUGAGUGUCAUUGUACUCUCACACUUCUAAUUCCUUUCGGGAUUGGGAGCGGUGGACUUGGGUGUUGCUGCUUUAGUUGUGGCUCACCUCAAAUAAGUUAGUGCAACUCUUGGUUGGACAUAGUACGGCGUGAUAAGUGUCUUCGCCGGCGCCUCUGUAAGGAGGGUGGCCGAUCGGGAGCUCUGUGCUUCAAACCGUCUUCGGACAAUCUUUGACAACUUGACCUCAAAUCGAGUAGGACUACCCGCUGAACUUAAGCAUAUCAAUAAGCGGAGGA